rnacentral:lncRNA from 1 species
ACAAUAGCUUAUGACUAAGAUCACAAAAUCAUCGUAUGAAAUAUCACUUUGGACUGUCAUAGCUAUCAUCUCUAGCAUUUCACUCUCCUUCCAGUGCCAUACAUAUCGAUUGCUCUUCUCGAUCCAUUGACUAUGACAAUCCACUCCUAUUGUUAUUGAUCCCUCCAUUAGUGGUACCUAAAUAAAGUAAUUUGUUAAAAAAAGUUAAUAAUGAUUUCAUAGUGCCAUAACAUGAAUCCCAACAGAUGUGUAACCUGUUGCAACAGAUAAGUGAUCAAUCGCAACAAAUUACUAACCUGUUAGAAUUAUGUUACGCUUCUGGAGCUGAUUUCAACAGAUGAGUCAUCUGUUAUAACAGGUGAAACAUCUGUUGCAACAGACUAUGAGGUUGUUGGAACGAUUAUAGGUUCUGUUGCAACCGGUUAUUAAUCUGUUGCAAUAGAUAUUUACCCUACUGCAAUAGAUAACUAGUUUAUCGGAAUUGAGCUUAGGUUCUGUUACAACAGGUAACUAAUCUGUUGCAAUAGAUAUUUACCCCUAUUGCAAUAGAUAACUAGUUUGUUGCAACAGAUAACCCAUCUGUUCGAUUCAAUCAUAAACAUAAAUCCAACAUAUCUCUUCCGUUGCAACAGAUGGCUCAUAUGUUGUAACAGAUGAUUGAUUUGUUUAAACAGAUGUCUCUUAUGUUGCAUUCAUGUUCGUGUGCUAUCUAUUGUUGAAAAAACAGCACAAUAACUGUUACCUAGAUGACAAAUUCAACUAAAAAUCAUAAUUUGACUUAUCAAAGUCUCCCGUGAAGUAAUGCCAAAGUGGAAAGUUAUGUAUGAAAUAAAAUUUUACCUAAGAAAUUAGUCAGAUAGCACCAGUAGCGGUAACAAAAACGAUAAUGGUCAACAAGAAGAAGAUAAAGAUGAUAAUGAAGUAGAAGAUGAUGAUAAUGAAGCAGAAGAUGAUGAAGAAAGCAGCAACAAUAAUGAACAACAAAAAUCGCUAAUAGAAAGAAAACAACAAUAGAUGAGAAGAGGGAGAAACACGUCUUUUUUCUCUCUGUUUCUCAUUAUAUUAGGUAAAUAUUUGGAUCAAAGUGUAUAUUUAAAAACAUCUGGGUUAUUUUGAAAUUUUUCCAACUUUCUUAAUCCUUAAUAAAGUAAUUGUCACCUCUACUCAAUUAUUAAGACUUAUAUCACCUACACUUCAUUUUAAAAUUCUUUUAUCACCUACAGCUCAAAGCCUCUAGUGAUUAAGGCUAUUGAAGUUGUGUGUAGACGGUUCUUAUGGACAGAAGGCACUGAGAAGUCCCAUAAGCACUAGUUUCUUGGAAAACACUCUGCAAACCAAUCUCUCCCAGAGGGCUUAAUAUUGAUGAUAUAUUGACAUGGAAUAAAGUAGCAAUAUGUAAAAUGCUCUGGAACAUAUGCAACAAAAAAGAUAAGCUUUGGAUUCAAUGGAUUCAUACGUACUAUGGGAAGAAGUGUCCAAAAUGGGCAGUAUAUCCUAAGCAAGCAUCAUGGGUCCUAAAAAAGAAAGCCAGUUGGUGGGUAAGGAAAGCAGGCCUCCAACUAAUUGAUUUUGCAGAUAUAGAUAAGUAUUCUAUAAAAACAAUGUACCUUAAACUCAGGGGAAAUUUCCAAAAGGUAACAUGGCAUAGGCUAAUAUGCAAUAAUAUGGGGGCUCAAAGAUAGAAAUUCAUACUCUACCUUGCAAUCUUAGGCAGGUUGAGUACCAAAGAGAGACUAGUUUUUUGGGGUGUGGUGGAUGAUCUACUAUGUCUUUUAUGUGGACAGGGGGAUGAAUAUACUGAACACUUAUUCUUCGACUGUUCUUUCUCUGCUUCUAUCUGGACUAAUUUACUAAAGUGGCAAGGUAUAGAUAGACAACCUGCUAGAUGGACAGAAGAACUAACAUGGUUUGUGGCCAACAUGCAAGGGAAAUCUGCACAAGCAGAGGUGUAUAGAGCAACAGUAACAGCUGGUGUAUAUCAUCUAUGGCAAGAAAGGAACUUGAGGGUCUUCCAAAGUAAACAAAGGACACCUACUAUACUUACAAGGCAGAUCAUCCAAGAGGUGUACCUUAGAGGAUCGCUGAAGAUCCAACUAGCACUUAGACUACUAGAUCUUAAUUUUUUUCCUUAGUGAUUUAACCUACAGUAGCAAAGUUAUGCUCUUGCUUAGUUUGGCCUGAAACUUGGGACUAUAUCCAAGAGCAGGAACUAAGUAGGAAUUUUGUUAUUUGUGCUACACUCAUCUUACUUUGGUAAUAAAAUUAUUGAGUUACCAAAAAAAAGCAUGAACUUGUUAAAAAUUUGAAUCACUUUAUCUGUAAUCAUACGUUAAAGACAUCUUUUUUUCUUCCCCAGAGUCAUCCCAAAUUCAAUAUUUAGAAUUCUUAAAGAACCAUCAAGAUCCUAUUCAUUUUAUUCCUAUCAAUCUAAAUCACAAAACAAAAGAAUAAUUUAAAUAGUACCUUUUGCAUUGCGAUCAUUCAUGCAACCAAUUGGUCUUUAAUUGUUUUGUCGACAUGUAACCUCAUGUGUGCACGAUCCUCUUCUAGUGUACUUUGUAACUAAGCAGUCGUUUGUUCACGUUCUUCUUGCAUUUUCCUAUUCAUUUCUGCACAUACUUAUAGCUAUAAUGGUAAAAAUAAGGUAAUUCUAAUAUAUAACUAUAUAGGCUUUUAUGUAUAGCAAUCUGAGAGAAUUUAUAGUUAAAACCUCUAUUGCUAUCUAUCAUUUUUCUGCUUACUACAGAGGAUAGAUAAGUGUUCGAUUGUAUUUUAAGAGAUUUUUACGUAAAAGUUAGGUUAAAUCGUAUUGUUUAGAUAUCUUAAUUAUCGUAUUGUUUUGUCGUAGUCUCUGCUUUGUUGGUAUAAGCUAUUGUUUCUACUUAAUACAAGUGGCUAGAUGAAUGUUCGGUUGGACUAUAAAUAAUUUUUGUAUAAAGAUAAGGUUUAAUCGUACUAUUAUGAUAUCUUGAUUAUCAUAUUGUUUGUCUGAUUUGUUGCUAUUGCUUUUUUUUUUUUCUGGUUAAUACAGGCGGUGGAUGAAUGUUCUUUCGGGCUUUAAAUUUUUUUUUUUAUAAAAGUGAGGUUUAAUCUAUUGUUGCAAUAUCUCGAUUUUCAUAUUGUUUGUCUGUUCUGUUGCUAUCUGCUUUUUUUCUGCUUAAUACAGUUGAUUACAGGAGAAGUUACAACACUAAGGUUAGUUUGUGUCGUAGUUUUUUCUUAUUCUUAUUGGGAUAAUUUUUUUCUUUUGAGUAGGAGUCCAUUUUUUGUUCCUCAAACUAUUAUUAUUAUUAUUUAUAUUUAUUGU